UCCUCAUUGGUCUAGUGGUCAUGAUUUCCGCUUGUCAUCUCGAGGGAGGUAAAUCUACUCCCCUCAAGCUCAGCUUGGGAUGUGUCAGCUUGGGACGUGUCAGCUAACGGACUGCAGACCUGGGUUCGAUUCCCAGAUGGGGAG
rnacentral:tRNA from 1 species